UACGUAGGGUGCAAGCGUUAAUCGGAAUUACUGGGCGUAAAGCGUGCGCAGGCGGUGAUGUAAGACAGAUGUGAAAUCCCCGGGCUCAACCUGGAACUGCAUUGUGACUGCAUCGCUGGAGUGCGGCAGAGGGGAUGGAAUUCCGCGUGUAGCAGUGAAUGCGCAGAGAUGCGGAGGAACACCGAUGGCGAAGGCAGCCCCUGGGCCGACAUUGACGCUCAGGCACGAAGCGUGGGGAGCAAACAGG
rnacentral:rRNA from 1 species